GAUGAACGCUGGCGGCGUGCCUAAUACAUGCAAGUCGAGCGAACGGACGAGAAGCUUGCUUCUCUGAUGUUAGCGGCGGACGGGUGAGUAACACGUGGAUAACCUACCUAUAAGACUGGGAUAACUUCGGGAAACCGGAUCUAAUACCGGAUGAUAUUUUGAACCGCAUGGUUCAAAAGUGAAAGACGGUCUUGCUGUCACUUAUAGAUGGAUCCGCGCUGCAUUAGCUAGUUGGUAAGGUAACGGCUUACCAAGGCAACGAUGCAUAGCCGACCUGAGAGGGUGAUCGGCCACACUGGAACUGAGACACGGUCCAGACUCCUACGGGAGGCAGCAGUAGGGAAUCUUCCGCAAAGGGCGAAAGCCUGACGGAGCAACGCCGCGUGAGUGAUGAAGGUCUUCGGAUCGUAAAACUCUGUUAUUAGGGAAGAACAUAUGUGUAAGUAACUGUGCACAUCUUGACGGUACCUAAUCAGAAAGCCACGGCUAACUACGUG
rnacentral:rRNA from 1 species